rnacentral:rRNA from 1 species
ACAUACGACCAUACCCACUGGAGAACUCGGGAUCCCGUCCGCUCUCCCAUAGAUAAGCCAGUGAGGGCAAGUAUUUAAGUCGGAUAUUGGUCGACCACCAAGAAAUAAUAGGUUCCGUUUUGU